AAUAUUUGACAAUGGUCGAAAGCCUGAUCCAGCCAUGCCGCGUGUGUGAAGAAGGNCUNNGGAUUNUNAAGCACUUUAAGUUGNNNNNGAGGGUUGUAGGUUAAUACCCUUCACUUUUGACGUUACCAACAGAAUAAGCACCGGCUAACUUCGAGCCAGCAGCCGCGGUAAUACGAAGGGUGCAAGCGUUAAUCGGAAUUACUGGGCGUAAAGCGCGCGUAGGUGGUUUGUUAAGUUGGAAGUGAAAGCCCCGGGCUCAACCUGGGAACUACUUUCAAAACUGGCAAGCUAGAGUAUGGCAGAGGGUGGUGGAAUUUCCUGUGUAGCGGUGAAAUGCGUAGAUAUAGGAAGGAACAUCAGUGGCGAAGGCGACUACCUGGACUGAUACUGACACUGAGGUGCGAAAGCGUGGGGAGCAAACAGG
rnacentral:rRNA from 1 species